GAAAAAUAUAUAUAAAAUAAAUUUUAAAUCAAAAUGUUAUUUGAAUACAAUCUAUAAAAGAUUGAAAAUUACAUGUAGCUAGUAUAUAGACUAAAACUAAACGUUAUAGUUUCUAUGAUUACUUGUUCAAGGUUUGCAACACCUCGGGAUCUUUCUCGUUUUCUUUCUUACCUCUCAUCCCAGGCUGAAGAAAAGAUUUGAUUCUCUGCUUUACGUUGGCGAUGGUAAGAUUUUUCUCGUAAUGCUCAAUUGUUGUUCGUGCUAAACAGUCAUGACGAUGUAACUAGAGGCUCUAAAGAGCCUGUGUCGCUCAACUUGGUCUAUGUGAAUAUUAAACAAAGGAAGCAGGUGGAUUCAUGACAAAAUUGUGUUUUGGUGAUGGUGAUGUGUUUU
rnacentral:lncRNA from 1 species